CUAAUAUUAUAAAAAGGCACAAUUAUAAUUCUAUUUUCCAACCCUACCAACCGCUCAUUUUCCAUUGGCUUUUUACCAUUUGGAUUCAUGCUUUUCACUUCAUAUUUUUCAUCAUAUUGUUCCAGAUUAUAAUAU
rnacentral:ribozyme from 1 species